CCCGAAUUGACAGACACUUCAACAACAGUAACAAUGCAGCCGGUCCAAAAAUAGCUGGCUAACUCCGUGGGGAACCCUCGUAAAGUACUGCAACUUACGGUCCAGAGAAAACUGAUAUUCCCGUUCGCCGUUUAUUUAGAAUCUAACUGGGAUGAUCUGUGUCGCGUACUUUGGUAGCCCAAAAAAAACUCCCAUAAAACGACAAACCAAAUCCCACAUAAAGGCAGAAUAAAUCUCUCAUUCCUCACUUAAAUUCACAUAAAUGUUUUUCGGCUACCGAAACACUUAAAGUCGCUCAUCCCAAAGUGAGAACAUUUAAAAGGCCGAAUCGACCGAAAGAAAAUAUCGUAUAAAAUGAGGCAAAGUUCAUGAACUCAAGAAGGCGAUGAAUUUCUCACACAGCCAUGGCAACGGCGUCAAUUACACGGCAAUGGACGGAGAUGAAAACGGGCAGAUGGAGCUUGAGUUGGAGCUGAAGAUGGAGGUGGAGCUGGAGCUGGAGCUGGAGAUCCGAGAUGGCCACGGCUACUUAGGAGAACCAGCCAGAACCAGGGAGCAGCUUAACUUUUAACCGCACAGAAGUCGACAUCGAUGCGCCACGGCCACUUGAGUUGGUUACGGCCAAG
ensembl:ncRNA lncRNA:CR43882 long non-coding RNA:CR43882